rnacentral:rRNA from 1 species
AUUGAACGCUGGCGGAAUGCUUAACACAUGCAAGUCGAGCGGCAGCACGGGGGCAACCCGGGCUGCGAGCGGCGAACGGGUGAGUAAUACAUCUGAACAUGCCCAGCCUCGCGGGAUGACACGUUGAAAGAAGUGCUAAUACCGCAAACGUCCAGAUGGGGCAAGCGGGGGAUCGCAAGAUCGCUUGCGCUUGGGGUGGGCGAUGAGCGAUUAGCUAGUUGGUGGGGUAAAGGCCUACCGAGGCAACGAUGUGAAGCUGGUCUGAUGGGAUGAUCAGCCACACUGGAACUGAGACAGGGCCCAGACUCCUACGGGAGGCCGCAGUGGGGAAUGUUGGACAAUGGGGGCAAGCCUGAUCCAGCCAUACCGCGUGAGUGAAGAAGGCCCUCGGGUUGUAAAGCUCUUUCGGCAGGAAAGAAACGAUGCGCUCUAACACGGCUUGAUAAUGACGGUACCUGAAGAAGAAGCACCGGCUAACUACGUG